rnacentral:lncRNA from 1 species
CACAUUUGCAUUCUGGUUGGGCAAAGAUUACAAGCUGGGCAUGGUGGCUCAAGCCUGUAAUCCAGAAGAAUUUACUGUAUGCAAACAUUGUGUGGGGCUCUGGAUACACAGAAAUACUAAAAUGCCAUCUUGAACCAUAAGUGAAUUUAAAUGUCAAGUUUUAUAGUGUAAUAAAAAUAUCUCUGAAAAGUCAUUUGGACAAGGUAACUUCUACUACCACAGAACGCCUUCCCAGUCUUCUGGGUGUGAAAAAUCAACAUCUCACUUUUUCCCCCCUUCUAA